rnacentral:rRNA from 1 species
UACAGAGGGCGCGAGCGUUGUCCGGAAUCACUGGGCGUAAAGGGCGCGUAGGUGGCCACUAUAAGGCUGCGGUGAAAGUUCGGGGCUCAACCCCGAAUCUGCCGCGGCGACUGUAGGGCUUGGGCACCGUAGGAGGCAGAUGGAAUUCCGGGUGUAGCGGUGGAAUGCGUAGAGAUCCGGAAGAACACCAGUGGCGAAGGCGGUCUGCUGGGCGGUGGGAGCGCAAGCUCCUCUUAGCCGACACUGAGGCGCGACAGCGUGGGGAGCAAACAGG